rnacentral:rRNA from 1 species
UACGGAGGGAGCUAGCGUUGUUCGGAAUUACUGGGCGUAAAGCGCACGUAGGCGGCUUUGUAAGUUAGAGGUGAAAGCCUGGGGCUCAACCCCAGAAUUGCCUUUAAGACUGCAUCGCUUGAAUCCAGGAGAGGUGAGUGGAAUUCCGAGUGUAGAGGUGAAAUUCGUAGAUAUUCGGAAGAACACCAGUGGCGAAGGCGGCUGACUGGACAUGUAUUGACGCUGAGGUGCGAAAGCGUGGGGAGCAAACAGG